rnacentral:rRNA from 1 species
UAGAGUUUGAUCCUGGCUAGAAUCACGCUGGCGGCGCGCCUAACACAUGCAAGUCGAACGAGAAAGCGGGGGCAACCUCGUGAGUAAAGUGGCGUACGGGUGAGUAACACGUGGGUAAUCUACCCUGAGGUGUGGAAUAACCCUGGGAAACUGGGGAUAAUACCGCAUAAUCCCGAGAGGGCAAAGGAGCAAUCCGCCUUAGGAGGAGCCCGCGGCCGAUUAGCUAGUUGGUGGGGUAAAAGCCCACCAAGGCAAAGAUCGGUAGCCGGCCUGAGAGGGCACACGGCCACACUGGCACUGAAACACGGGCCAGACUCCUACGGGAGGCAGCAGUGGGGAAUCUUGCACAAUGGGGGAAACCCUGAUGCAGCGACGCCGCGUGAGCGAUGAAGCCCUUCGGGGCGUAAAGCUCUUUCGGCAGGGACGAAACAUGACGGUACCUGCAGAAGCAGCUGCGGCUAACUACGUGCCAGCAGCCGCGGUAAUACGUAGGCAGCAAGCGUUGUUCGGAGUUACUGGGCGUAAAGGGUGCGUAGGCGGUCCCCUAAGUUCGGUGUGAAAUCUCCCGGCUCAACUGGGAGGGUGCGCCGGAAACUGAGGGACUCGAGUGCGGGAGGGGAGAGCGGAAUUCCUGGUGUAGCGGUGAAAUGCGUAGAUAUCAGGAGGAACACCGGUGGUGCAGACGGCUCUCUGGACCGUAACUGACGCUGAGGCACGAAAGCGUGGGUAGCAAACAGGAUUAGAUACCCUGGUAGUCCACGCCCUAAACGAUGCAUGCUUGGUGCUGGUGAUUCAGUUCAUCGGUGCCGGAGCUAACGCGUUAAGCAUGCCGCCUGGGGAGUACAGUCGCAAGGCUGAAACUCAAAGGAAUUGACGGGGGCCCGCACAAGCGGUGGAGCAUGUGGUUCAAUUCGACGCAACGCGAAGAACCUUACCUGGGCUCGAACGGCCGGUCAACGGUGGCGGAAACGCUACUACCCCGCAAGGGGGUCCGGUCGAGGUGCUGCAUGGCUGUCGUCAGCUCGUGUCGUGAGAUGUUGGGUUAAGUCCCGCAACGAGCGCAACCCUUGUCCUGUGUUGCCACUCCGAAAGGAAGCACUCGCAGGAGACCGCCAGCGAUAAGUUGGAGGAAGGUGGGGAUGACGUCAAGUCCUCAUGGCCUUUAUGUCCAGGGCUACACACGUGCUACAAUGGCCGGUACAAAGCGCUGCAAACCCGCGAGGGGGAGCCAAUCGCAGAAAACCGGUCUCAGUUCGGAUUGCAGGCUGCAACCCGCCUGCAUGAAGCUGGAAUCGCUAGUAAUGGCAGAUCAGCACGCUGCCGUGAAUACGUUCCCGGGCC